rnacentral:rRNA from 1 species
CAGCCGCCGCGGUAAUACGUAGGUCCCGAGCGUUGUCCGGAUUUAUUGGGCGUAAAGCGAGCGCAGGCGGUUUGAUAAGUCUGAAGUUAAAGGCUGUGGCUCAACCAUAGUUCGCUUUGGAAACUGUCAAACUUGAGUGCCGAAGGGGAGAGUGGAAUUCCAUGUGUAGCGGUGAAAUGCGUAGAUAUAUGGAGGAACACCGGUGGCGAAAGCGGCUCUCUGGUCUGUAACUGACGCUGAGGCUCGAAAGCGUGGGGAGCGAACAGGAUUAGAUACCCCAGUAGUCCCUGUCUCUUAUACA